UGGGGAAUAUUGCACAAUGGGCGGAAGCCUGAUGCAGCAACGCCGCGUGAGGGAUGACGACCUUCGGGUUGUAAACCUCUUUUAGCAGGGAAGAAGCGAGAGUGACGGUACCUGCAGAAAAAGCGCCGGUUAACUACGUGCCAGCAGCCGCGGUAAUACGUAGGGCGCAAGCGUUAUCCGGAAUUAUUGGGCGUAAAGAGCUCGUAGGCGGUCUGUCGCGUCUGCUGUGAAAACCCGAGGCUCAACCUCGGGCCUGCAGUGGGUACGGGCAGACUAGAGUGCGGUAGGGGAGAUUGGAAUUCCUGGUGUAGCGGUGGAAUGCGCAGAUAUCAGGAGGAACACCGAUGGCGAAGGCAGAUCUCUGGGCCGUAACUGACGCUGAGGAGCGAAAGGGUGGGGAGCAAACAGGCUUAGAUACCCUGGUAGUCCACCCGUAAACGUUGGGAACUAGUUGUGGGACCUUUCCACGGUCUCCGUGACGCAGCUAACGCAUUAAGUUCCCCGCCUGGGGAGUACGGCCGCAAGGCUAAACUC
rnacentral:rRNA from 1 species